UUCAUCUGCAUUCAGCAAUUUUUCUGCAAUUCAAUCAGCGAUUUCAAUCUGCAACGAGCUAUUCAAUCACUGAAUUCUCUGUAAUCAGCGAUUUUCUCUGCAAUCACACCACAAAUUCGUUCGAAUAUGGGUGAAUCGAUUAUCAGCCCUAGGAUCGGUUCAGGAAGUUCUGCAAGCCGAUUGGUGUCUGUGAAGUUGACGACCAAACCAUUGCAUCGUGUGAAAAAUGUGGAGAAAUGUGUCCCAAUGACUCUAGAAAUUGUGGCAGACAAAAGGAAUAAGAGAGCAUUUAGUUUGUUUUGAAGUACUUGAAGUUUAUAGUCCUCUAGAAAUUGUGGCAGACAAAAGGAAUAAGAGAGCAUUUAGUUGUUUUGAAGUACUUGAAGUUUAUAGCCGUAUUUGUUUUUACCUUACCAGAUUGCAGUCUUACUCUAUGAAUAUUGCAGUGUUACGUAUCUGUAUAAUUCGUAAUAGUUUUACCUUACCAGAUUGCAGUGUUACUCUAUGAAUAUUGCAGUGUUACUCUAUGAAUAUUGCAGUGUUACGUGUCUGCAUAAUUUGUAAUAGUUUUUUACCUUA